UGGGGAAUUUUGCACAAUGGGGGAAACCCUGAUGCAGCGACGCCGCGUGAUUUAGAAGGCCUUCGGGUUGUAAAAAUCUUUUUUACGGGAUGAAAAUGACAGUACCGUAAGAAUAAGGUCCGGCUAAAUACGUGCCAGCAGCCGCGGUAAUACGUAUGGACCGAGCGUUGUCCGGAAUCAUUGGGCGUAAAGGGUACGUAGGCGGCCUAGUAAGUUAGAAGUGAAAUAAUAUAGCUCAACUAUAUAAAGCUUUUAAAACUGCUAGGCUUGAGAGAUGGAAGGGAAAGUGGAAUUCCUAGUGUAGCGGUGAAAUGCGCAGAUAUUAGGAAGAAUACCGGUGGCGAAGGCGACUUUCUGGUCAUCAUCUGACGCUGAGGUACGAAAGCGUGGUUAGCAAACAGG
rnacentral:rRNA from 1 species